rnacentral:rRNA from 1 species
AACGAACGCUGGCGGCAUGCCUAGCACAUGCAAGUCGAACGAGACCUUCGGGUCUAGUGGCGCACGGGUGCGUAACGCGUGGGAACCUGCCCUUAGGUUCGGAAUAACUCCCCGAAAGGGGUGCUAAUACCGGAUAAUGUCUUCGGACCAAAGAUUUAUCGCCUUUGGAUGGGCCCGCGUUGGAUUAGCUAGUUGGUAGGGUAAAAGCCUACCAAGGCGACGAUCCAUAGCUGGUCUGAGAGGAGGAUCAGCCACACUGGGACUGAGACACGGCCCAGAAUCCUACGGGAGGCAGCAGUGGGGAAUAUUGGACAAUGGGCGAAAGCGUGAUACAGCAAUGCCGCGUGAGUGAGGAAGGCCUUAGGGUUGUAAAGCUCUUUUACCCGGGAUGAUAAUGACAGUACCGGGAGAAUAAGCACCGGCUAACUACGUG